UCCAGACGCUGGUUCCGGUUCCGUUGGCGGCGGCCGAUUGUUAAGGUAACGCGGCCCGUGGUCCUGCGAUGGCAAGGAGCAGAGCAGUGGCUGGCCUCCGCUUCUCACCAGCAGAGGUGAGCCUCGAACCUGGCGUGUCCGGCCCUGCUCGAGACUUCAGUCUCGAACUCGGCUUCAUGUCCGGACCCGCCGUGCACGUGGACGGCCAAGCCGUGCCCUGCUUCGCGUGGGAUUCCUUCUCUAGAAUGAUUUUUUUAGCCUGAAAAUAUAAUUACUAUGUGUACGUAUGAUAUACGUGCAUGCACCUGCCACAGCGUGGGCGAGUCAGGUCCCUACUUCUACCUUUUACGAGGGGUCUAGGGACGAGAACUCGGGCUUGCCGGAUGCUGUGAUCCCAGGCAGCACACAAGGACAUAGACAAGAAAUGCUGGAAGGCACAGCUGCUCUGAAAGUCAGUCUGUGCCCUCAGCAGCAGAGUCUGUUAAAUUGCCUCCAGAAUUGGCAAGUUUUUACUCAUGCUUGCAUUGCCGUAAGUAGUUGUACUUUAAAAGAUAAAAUAAAUAAAGACUGGCAGAUUUGCU